AAAAAGCUCGUAGUUGAACCUUGGGCCUGGCUGGCCGGUCCGCCUCACCGCGUGUACUGGUCCGGCCGGGCCUUUCCUUCUGGUGGAACCUCAUGCCCUUCACUGGGCGUGUUGGGGAACCAGACUUUUACUUUGAAAAAAUUAGAGUGUUCAAAGCAGGCCUUUGCUCGAAUACAUUAGCAUGGAAUAAUAGAAUAGGACGUGUGGUUCUAUUUUGUUGGUUUCUAGGACCGCCGUAAUGAUUAAUAGGGAUAGUCGGGGGCAUCAGUAUUCAAUCGUCAGAGGUGAAAUUCUUGGAUUGAUUGAAGACUAACUACUGCGAAAGCAUUUGCCAAGGAUGUUUUCAUUAAUCAGUGAACGAAAGUUAGGGGAUCGAAGACGAUCAGAUACCGUCGUAGUCUUAACCAUAAACUAUGCCGACUAGGGAUCGGACGGUGUUAGUAUUUUGACCCGUUCGGCACCUUACGAGAAAUCAAAGUUUUUGGGUUCUGGGGGGAGUAUGGUCGCAAGGCUGAAACUUAAAGAAAUUUGACGGAAGGGCACCACCAGGCGUGGAGCCUGCGGCUUACAUUUGACUCAACACGGGGAAACUCACCAGGUCCAGACACAAUAAGGAUUGACAGAUUGAGAGCUCUUUCUUGAUUUUGUGGUGGUGGUGCAUGGCCGUUCUUAGUUGGUGGAGUGAUUUGUCUGCUUAAUUGCGAUAACGAACGAGACCUUAACCUGCUAAAUAGCCAGGCCCGCUUUGGCGGGUCGCCGGCUUCUUAGAGGGACGUAUCGGCUCAAGCCGAUGGAAGUUUGAGGCAAUAACAGGUCUGUGAUGCCCUUAGAUGUUCUGGGCCGCACGCGCGUACACUGACAGAGCCAACGAGUUCAUUUCCUUAGCCGAAAGGUUUGGGUAAUCUUGUUAAACUCUGUCGUGCUGGGGAUAGAGCAUUGCAAUUAUUGCUCUUCAAAC
rnacentral:rRNA from 1 species